GCCCCUUAUCUGGAAAUCCUAGAUCAUUGUAGAAUGCAUAAUCAUACACUCUGUCCCACUCCUUGAGCAUGCCUGAACCGCUUCCACGAAGAUUAAGAAGCUCCUCUUCCCUGUAUGGUCGAAGGGGUUCCGGUGUGUUGCUUGGCAGGUAUGUCUGGAAAACCAGCAAAUUUGAUUUCAGCAUAUCGUAUCAUAUUUUGAACCUAUCAACUCUAUACAACUGUUUAGUUAUCAUUUCUAGAAAAAGUACGAGUUUCAGGAAGUCAAUAUGUAGCUAUCCUAUCAAGGUUGCCAUGGUUGUUCACUUAUCCUAAUCUAGUUAGUGAAAGAAUUUUCAUAGCUUUUGUCUAUUUAGAACAAGAAUGAACUUUUUAGGCUCUCGAAGAGGACCCGAAGAGAAUGUCCCAAAAAGUUUUACAUGCAUAAAAAUUCACAAAAUUCACGAAGCUUCAUCAGUAUGUGUCUGGUUAUUGCCAACAAACAUAAAGUACAACUCUGAGGCCUGAACCUCAAUCCAACUUUUGAUUUUCAAUGUGAUUUGCUCUAGUUUGCCUCGGCAGGUUACUUUUCCUUACUUAACUCACACUAAUAUUGCUAAUCUAAUGUUAGAGAUACCUUGUUUGAAAAAAAUACUCGGUUGUAUUUGUAGCGAUGUGCUGGAUACACCCAUGAAUUACACACAAAAUGAAGUUGACCAUGUCCAGGAACAUCUUCUAAAAUGACUGUCCUGAGGUAAAACUGGCUGUGGUGAUAGUUUUUGAUUAUGAAAGCUCCAGGAACUCCCAUGGACUCAUCCCAGUCAAAUGUCACAUUAAAUGUAGCAUCUCCCGCUGAUAUUGAAGUCAAAGUGGACAUCCAUUUCUCCAAGAAUGCUGGUUUUCCCAACUUCCCUUUACAUCCAUUUCCUACAAAAUUCAAACACAGGUCUUUGUAUUAAACUUACAAACUACAAAACUUUUUUUCUUUUAGAUACCAAAUUGAAUAUCAACUUGCUACUGUUUAGAUAUUAAUUAAUUAAUUAAUUGAAGUUACAUAUCCCUCUAAUAACUUAAGCAUCGAGAUGAGGUGCUCACCCCAUUCAAUAUGGUAUCACAGCAUCCUAAGAAAAAGACUCCCGCGUGAGAAAUGUGUGUUGUAGGCAUAAAUAAAUAAACUAAAGUGCACCCUCUCGAGUUGUUUUUUAAAUUUUUAGAUGAGGUGGCUACACAAUUCAACAACUACUAAAAGGAAAAAUCAGGAAACAACAGGUCAAGCACUCACAGGAUUAGACUAGGAUCAACUUAACUUGAAUCAUCAAUAUUUUUGCUAUUUAAAGCACAUGGAAAAUUCAAACGCUCUCUAUGUUCUGUUGCUUGGUUUUAUAGUUGAAAAAGGGCACUGAGGUUUGCUUAAAACAUAAUUUGUGUUUAGUUAUUUAUUAGCUUUCAUGUCCUCGUAUCAGAACCUUGUUGACAGAAAAGUAGAGCACAAGUAAAAGGAGGUACCAGAUUCUGCAUGGUCAGCACUGAUGAGCUGCAAAGAGACACCUUUGCCAAAGACUUCAUGAACUCUAUCAAGGAAAGAAGCACCAACAUCCUUCAAGUCCAAUACAUUCUUUUUCAUCAAUACAACUGUCCCUCUGACUUUCUUCCCAUUGGUAUUAUUGUUAAAGUUGUUAUCUUCUAUUGUAGGCUCAUGGUUCUUGCCACAAACCACUUGAAG
rnacentral:lncRNA from 1 species